rnacentral:rRNA from 1 species
AUCGCUCAACGGUGGAACGGCCAUUGAUACUGUUAGACUUGAAUUAUUAGGAAGUAACUAGAAUAUGUAGUGUAGCGGUGAAAUGCUUAGAGAUUACAUGGAAUACCAAUUGCGAAGGCAGGUUACUACUAAUUGAUUGACGCUGAUGGACGAAAGCGUGGGUAGCGAACAGGAUUAGAUACCCUGGUAGUCCACGCCGUAAACGAUGGAUACUAGCUGUUGGAAGCAAUUUCAGUGGCUAAGCGAAAGUGAUAAGUAUCCCACCUGGGGAGUACGUUCGCAAGAAUGAAACUCAAAGGAAUUGACGGGGGCCCGCACAAGCGGUGGAGCAUGUGGUUUAAUUCGAUGAUACGCGAGGAACCUUACCAAGGCUUAAAUGUAGAUUGACCGGUUUGGAAACAGAUCUUUCGCAAGACAAUUUACAAGGUGCUGCAUGGUUGUCGUCAGCUCGUGCCGUGAGGUGUCAGGUUAAGUCCUAUAACGAGCGCAACCCCUGUUGUUAGUUGCCAGCGAGUCAUGUCGGGAACUCUAACAAGACUGCCAGUGCAAACUGUGAGGAAGGUGGGGAUGACGUCAAAUCAUCACGGCCCUUACGCCUUGGGCUACACACGUGCUACAAUGGCCGGUACAGAGAGCAGCCACUGGGCGACCAGGAGCGAAUCUAUAAAACCGGUCACAGUUCGGAUCGGAGUCUGCAACUCGACUUCGUGAAGCUGGAAUCGCUAGUAAUCGGAUAUCAGCCAUGAUCCGGUGAAUACGUUCCCGGGCCUUGUACACACCGCCCGUCAAGCCAUGGAAGCUGGGGGUGCCUGAAGUCGGGACCGCAAGGAGCUGCCAGGUAAACCGCCGCCCUUU